UUGCAGAGUUGCAAGGCAUGGGAUGCUGCUACUGGUGCUGCUGCUGCAUAGACUCCAUCGCUCGAUCCCUCCCUCGGAGAGAAUGGAAAAAACAAGGAGUGGUUAUGUGAUUCCCCACAAGCAGCAGGAGAAGCGCACAGUGGAGAAAGGAAUAGCAGGGGAGGGGGGGCGUUUCCCUGCACAUCAUAGCCUAUUCUCACACUUCAGCAUGGAUACAAUGAAUGGCAUAUGGAGCGGCUUCUUUUUAGCAGCUUACAUAAAGAUGGACAUGGCGCUCUUGGUGAGAACAGAAGACACGUCCACUUGAGUUGUCAUCAGCAGCCCAGACAUGGACAGUUGGGACGGAGGAAGAGGCGAAGAGGGGAAGAGAUGAGGAGAGAAGACUAAGGGAAUAUAGGCGCUGUACAUUAAGAUUUGCUUCAACAUAGACCUCGUCCUUCUACACUGCAAUCGUAUUCAGAGUGAGGAGCCAAAGGGAUGCAUCCAGGAAAGGAGAAUGAGCUCCAGAGUCGAGAGGGAAGAGAGAGAGAGAAAGCAAUGGAAGGGAGGAGGUGGGCAUCUUUGCUCCGGUCUCGACCACGGGUAUUCUUGGGUUGAUAAUACAGAUGUGGAUGUUAUUGCUUGAGAAUACGCGUAGUCGAGUGGAAGCUUUAUCAUCAACACUGGACAAAAAAACAGAACACUGUUUAAUACGGCCCAAUGUCAGAGACUUGGCAGACAUGUGUACGGCCAAACUCAGGUGAAACAGAUAUUUUGGUGGGUUUUAAUUUCUCCCAGUGGUGACUUUUUAUGGCAAAGGCUUAUUUUGUUCAGUCAGAAAGAAUUUUAAAUAGAAUGUAAUCAGGGCUAGUCAAAUCAAAUCCACCCACUGAGAAGGUUUUAUCAUCGUAGGUUUAUCAACCAUGUCUUUACACCUGUGGAGGAAAUGAGUUUGUGUCGUGGGCCAGAUUCAGCCUCUCCUGCAGAGGUGCCGGUGCUAACGUCUUGCACCAUGCCACUGAGCUAAACCCCCAGGCAUUAGUUCAGGGAGCUUAACACAAAAGUCUUCAGGCUCAGGCUUUAAUUCCAAACCUUCUUGAUUACAUACCCUUGUCAUUUAGUGGUGCACAUGAGAGAUCCUAUCAUUUUAACAGUUGAUCGGUGUCUUUCACAGCCCUUCACACUCAACCUUUUCCUCAUGCUGAACAGAAAUCUCUAAAGUCUAAAGUUUCAGUCAGGGCACUGUGUUCUUGGAUGUAAAUGUCUGCGAUUCCAUUUGGAUGGUGGUACAUUCCAACCGUCCAUAGCCAUCAUCCCACUGCGCUGCCUACUACACUUGCAUUGCUAUUUCUGACUCCUCUGUCCAUGCUAUAAAUGUGUGAGAGUUUGAUGCCUGUAGCAGCAACAGGAGACAGUAACCCAUGAGGACACGUCAAGGCUUGCACCCAUGGAUGACAUUUCAGCAUUCAGCUCAGCUGACUGGCUUGUCAUGAUGGAGAGUCAGGCCUACAUACACAUACAUUAAACUGCAUGAGGGUUGACAUAAUCUACACGCCUGUAGGGAAACAGAGAAUUGAUGAAUGUUGUGAAAAACAGGACCACAGAUAGAUCACGUACAUAUAAACACACAUAGAUUGCAGUUGGUAAGUUCACAGGGUCCAUGCCAGUGGGGAAAUAAAGGAUUGAGUGAUUUUAUGACCAACUAUUUUUAGUCAGAAUGAUAAAUGUUUAUGUCUUUUAUUGAUCAAGCUGAGGUGUGGGUUUGAAGAAUUCUAGGACAUUAAACCGUGCUGAUUAAUCGGGCAGUGUUGAAAUAAAACAUUCUGAAUUACAUUUUUGUACAUUAGCAUUAUUAGUAAGUGUUAUAAAUUAUAAAAUCAGCAUUUCUUUGCAAAUUCAGCAAUACAUCAUCAUCUUGUUGUGCCCAUGAUAAAUUACACUCUUAUCAUGUACAAUUCCACCAUUUCUUACCACCGUGCAAGCAAAUCUGUAAGUCAUUAUAAUUUAUACAAAUUUUACUCUGAUGUUGUAUAAACUUGUUGAUUGGGCAAAGCCA